GCCAUCAUUUAAAGAAAGCGUAAUAGCUCACUGGUCGAGUCGGCCUGCGCGGAAGAUGUAACGGGGCUAAACCAUGCACCGAAGCUGCGGCAGCAACAUUUCGAUGUUGUUGGGUAGGGGAGCGUUCUGUAAGCCUGCGAAGGUGUGCUGUGAGGCAUGCUGGAGGUAUCAGAAGUGCGAAUGCUGACAUAAGUAACGAUAAAGCGGGUGAAAAACCCGCUCGCCGGAAGACCAAGGGUUCCUGUCCAACGUUAAUCGGGGCAGGGUGAGUCGACCCCUAAGGCGAGGCCGAAAGGCGUAGUCGAUGGGAAACGGGUUAAUAUUCCCGUACUCGGUGUUACUGCGAAGGGGGGACGGAGAAGGCUAGACCGGCCGGGCGACGGUUGUCCCGGUUCAAGCGUGUAGGUGGGAAGAAUUGGUAAAUCCGUUCUUCUGUAAACACUGAGGCGUGAUAACGAGGCACUACGGUGCUGAAGUGGUUGAUGCCCUGCUUCCAGGAAAAGCCUCUAAGCAUCAGGUAACAGUGAAUCGUACCCCAAACCGACACAGGUGGUCAGGUAGAGAAUACUCAGGCGCUUGAGAGAACUCGGGUGAAGGAACUAGGCAAAAUGGUGCCGUAACUUCGGGAGAAGGCACGCUGGCAUUAGGUGAAGGGACAGGCUCCCGGAGCCGAAGCCAGUCGCAGAUACCAGCUGGCUGCAACUGUUUAAUAAAAACACAGCACUGUGCAAACACGAAAGUGGACGUAUACGGUGUGACGCCUGCCCGGUGCUGGAAGGUUAAUUGAUGGGGUUAGCGGCAACGCGAAGCUCUUGAUCGAAGCCCCAGUAAACGGCGGC
rnacentral:rRNA from 1 species